CACCCAGCUCGGGGCGGAGUCCGGAUCCUAGAAGUCUGGCGGGAGGAGCGGCGGGGAGGUGGGGGUCCUUUGGGGACCCGCCGGCGGGCGGGCACAACAAAGAAGCGGGUGAGGUGGAUUCUCAGAAAGCCGGGGGCGUUCCGAGACGGCAGCCAAUAAGGGCGUGCGUGGGGCAAGCUGGGCAACCUAUACAGUAUUCCUCGGAGUUUGUGGCUGGGGCUGCCGCCUCUUGCGACCCAGCUUAAGUUUAUUUAGUGGUACCUUUUGUCUCCUCCCCGGGGUCCUGCUUCCUAACGUGAAGGGCUUCUACUGUUAAUGCGCAUUGUGACGAUUCUUGCGACGUAAGCGGUGGAAUAGAAAGGGUGCAGGGGAAGGACUGGGGUGUUCGCCUUCUUUUAUGCUGCUCGCAUUGAAUGAAAUGGGGCAUAUUCUCCCCAAUCCUUGCAAGAGAAAUGCUUGUCAGAGAUGAUGUAUUUAGAACAAAAAUCUUCUACUUGGAUGAUCCAGAAGCUAGAAUCUCUCUUGAUGGUUUCCCCCACUUACCCUUCCUCAGGGGAUUGUUCCUACGCAAUCAGAGGAGGUGAAAUGGAGAUCUAUAAUUUCCAUGUAAGCCUAAUCUUUUUUUUCCUAGAAAAGACUGAAAUCCAGGGGGAUCUAGCUUUUAUUUUAUUUCUUGAAGAUUAUAUAUGGCUGAAAGAAUAACAUGGCAUAGUUCUUUAUGACUGAAUUCACUUAGUAAGUUUUUGAGCAAUUCCAUAGUUAGGUAGAAUUAAACUAGUUAUACAGUAAGUGAGUAGCACUGAACUGCAGAAAAUGUUCAUGAAGUUUUGUAAAGUAUUUUUUGAAACUCCACUGAUUUAAAAGUAAUUAUUCAGCCUUUAGCCAUUUUUCUUUAUAGUUGGGCCUUAAUAAAAUUGGAAGAUUGGAACUACCAUCUUAAAGCAGUGAUAGACAAUCCACAGACCACACAUGGGCCACUAAUUCCAUGUUUGCAUCUUUAACCUGCUAUCAAAAAUACAUUGUUGGCAUUCAGGAUCCUGCUGGAGGUAUUCCAAUGUUGGUUCCACAAUAAAGACUCCUUAUAGACAAUAAAUAUAUUUAUGGCUUCCAAUA